UGGAAGCCACUAUAAUAGUACAAGUACCUUUUACCAAUUGCACAAGGCUUUACCAACAUCACUAUGAUUAUUUUCUCCCCUCCUUUAGGAUAUGGAUUAUUCUGCUCUAAGACCCUACCUCAGCCCUAUCAAAUCUAUAGUCGUCAUAAUACAAUCAAGUGAAUAGGGUAACUAAACUAUAGGCACAAGGUGCUUGAAGGACAUGAGGAGCAUAUCUGUUAAAGUUUCCACCCUUUUAUGAUGUUUUCAAUUUAUCAGUAAUAAUUUAACCAUAAAAACCCAAAAUGAAUACUAAAAUAUCAAUA
rnacentral:misc_RNA from 1 species